rnacentral:tRNA from 2 species
GGCGAUGUAGCUCAGUUGGUUAGAGCAUGCGGCUCAUAUCCGCAGCGUCCGGGGUUCAAGUCCCUGCAUCGCCACCA